CUCCCCUGUGCAUCUGGAGCUGCAAGUGUCCCAUUUUUAAGUUGACUUGCUUGUUUCAUACCAUGUGCUUAGCAAUAACCUACUAUCAUGCAUCUGCAUCAUGAACAUUAUGGUCAGUUAGUGUUGUGUGAUUUACUCAGAACAUGUAGACAUUCAGCUUUUAAAAGAAGUAAAUCAAAUCUGCAGUCAAAACUCGCUUCCUCUGCCGACUUAUGUACUCUACUUCUUUUUACUUGUGGGAUUAUUUGGGUUUGAUGUGAUCUUACAUUGAAUGUAUUUAUCUAAUUUAGAGGUGUUUUCUGGUUGACUUUGUUACUAUAUAUUCUAUUUAUUGUUCUUACAGUAAAUAUGUUUGCAUCACAGGUGGUGGUUUUGUUUUAAUUGAAUGUGUUAAAAGAUAUGUUUGAAAUAAUGUAAAGGGGAAAUCUACCAAAGGUACUACUAGAAGGGGUUUCUUGUUUUUCCACAUACAACAAGGCCACAGAGGCAUUCAGUGUGUGUGUGUUAUUGCAGUAUAAAAACUAUGAAUACAUGAGAACAACUUCCCAAGUCUGUAUAUGCAUGGCAGAUCAUAAGGAAACAGGCAGUAGUAAUGCAAUACUUCUAUAAAAGAUAUUGUAGUGCACUAAAAUGAAUCAAAAUCUUUUAAAACGAGUAUAAUUAUUAAGAAUAAUAUAUCUGUCUUUAAUAUAAAAAUGUCUCUUUGUCUUACCUUGAGAGUGUCUUAAUGUUGAGCUGCAGGGGGGGUGUGGUAACAAAAAGGGAAUUUUGUGCUAAAACACUAAGUAAAAGAGGUCUCCUCAGAUAAGCUUUAAAUAAAACUUUGAACAAAA